rnacentral:rRNA from 1 species
CACGUAGGGUGCGAGCGUUGUCCGGAAUUAUUGGGCGUAAAGAGCUCGUAGGCGGUGUGUCGCGUCGGCCGUGAAAAACCUGCAGCUUAACUGUGGGCGUGCGGUCGAUACGGGCAUCACUGGAGUUCGGCAGGGGAGACUGGAAUUCCUGGUGUAGCGGUGAAAUGCGCAGAUAUCAGGAGGAACACCGGUGGCGAAGGCGGGUCUCUGGGCCGAUACUGACGCUGAGGAGCGAAAGCGUGGGGAGCGAACAGG